UACGGGGGGGGCAAGCGUUGUUCGGAAUUACUGGGCGUAAAGGGCUUGUAGGCGGCCAACUAAGUCCGACGUGAAAUCCCAAGGCUUAACCUUGGAACUGCGUCGGAUACUGGAUGGCUUGAAUUCGGGAGAGGGAUGCAGAAUUCCAGGUGUAGCGGUGAAAUGCGUAGAUAUCAGGAGGAACACCGAUGGCGAAGGCAGGUCUCUGGGCCACUACUGACGCUGAGAAGCGAAAGCAUGGGGAGCGAACAGG
rnacentral:rRNA from 1 species